rnacentral:rRNA from 1 species
AAGGAUCAUUAUUGAAUAAACCUGAUGGGCUGUUAGCUGGCUUUUCGAAGCAUGUGCUCGUCUGUCAUCUUUAUCUCUCCACCUGUGCACAUUUUGUAGUCUUGGAUACCUCUCGAGGCAACUCGGAUUUUAGGAUUGCCGUGCUGUACAAGUCGGCUUUUCUUUCAUUUCCAAGACUAUGUUUUUAUAUACACCAAAGUAUGUUUAAAGAAUGUCAUCAAUGGGAACUUGUUUCCUAUAAAAUUAUACAACUUUCAGCAACGGAUCUCUUGGCUCUCGCAUCGAUGAAGAACGCAGCGAAAUGCGAUAAGUAAUGUGAAUUGCAGAAUUCAGUGAAUCAUCGAAUCUUUGAACGCACCUUGCGCUCCUUGGUAUUCCGAGGAGCAUGCCUGUUUGAGUGUCAUUAAAUUCUCAACCUUCCAACUUUUAUUAGCUUGGCUAGGCUUGGAUGUGGGGGUUGCGGGCUUCAUUAAUGAGGUCGGCUCUCCUUAAAUGCAUUAGCNGAACUUUUGUGGACCGUCUAUUGGUGUGAUAAUUAUCUACGCCGUGGAUGUGAAGCAGCUUUAUAAAGUUCUGCUUCUAACCGUCCAAUAACUUGGACAAUUUUGACAAUUUGACCUCAAAUCAGGUAGGACUACCCGCUGAACUUAA